UGUCAAAAAUUUAAUCCAUCAUGUACUGUUAAAAACUGGUGUGAUUGACGAAAUAACUAGAAAAUGACACAUGAUACCUUACGCUAACUUACAAGGACUAGUUUUUAACAGUAGGACGGGAUGAAACUUUUAACA
rnacentral:pre_miRNA from 1 species